UACGUAGGGGGCAAGCGUUGUCCGGAAUUAUUGGGCGUAAAGAGCGUGUAGGCGGUCCGAUAAGUCGGCUGUGAAAGUCCAGGGCUCAACUCUGGAAUGCCGGCCGAUACUGUCGGACUAGAGUCCGGAAGAGGUGAGUGGAAUUCCCGGUGUAGAGGUGAAAUUCGUAGAUAUCGGGAGGAACACCGGUGGCGAAGGCGGCGACCUGGGUGGAUACUGACGCUGAGGCGCGAAAGCGUGGGGAGCAAACAGG
rnacentral:rRNA from 1 species